rnacentral:rRNA from 1 species
AUUGAACGCUGGCGGCAGGCCUAACACAUGCAAGUCGAACGGUAACAGGAAGACGCUUGCUUCUUUGCUGACGAGUGGCGGACGGGUGAGUAAUGUCUGGGAAACUGCCUGAUGGAGGGGGAUAACUACUGGAAACGGUAGCUAAUACCGCAUAACGUCGCAAGACCAAAAAGGGGGACCUUCGGGCCUCUUGCCAUCGGAUGUGCCCAGAUGGGAUUAGCUAGUAGGUGGGGUAACGGCUCACCUAGGCGACGAUCCCUAGCUGGUCUGAGAGGAUGACCAUCCACACUGGAACUGAGACACGGUCCAGACUCCUACGGGAGGCAGCAGUGGGGAAUAUUGCACAAUGGGCGCAAGCCUGAUGCAGCCAUGCCGCGUGUAUGAAGAAGGCCUUCGGGUUGUAAAGUACUUUCAGCGGGGAGGAAGGGAGUAAAGUUAAUACCUUUGCUCAUUGACGUUACCCGCAGAAGAAGCACCGGCUAACUCCGUG